UACAGAGGGGGCAAGCGUUGUUCGGAAUUACUGGGCGUAAAGGGCGCGUAGGCGGCCCGCUAAGUCGAACGUGAAAUCCCUGGGCUCAACCCAGGAACUGCGUCCGAUACUGGCGGGCUUGAAUCCGGGAGAGGGAUGUGGAAUUCCAGGUGUAGCGGUGAAAUGCGUAGAUAUCUGGAGGAACACCGGUGGCGAAGGCGGCAUCCUGGACCGGUAUUGACGCUGAGGAGCGAAAGCUAGGGGAGCAAACGGGG
rnacentral:rRNA from 1 species